GACGAACGCUGGCGGCGUGCUUAACACAUGCAAGUCGAACGGAAAGGCCCUGCUUGCAGGGUACUCGAGUGGCGAACGGGUGAGUAACACGUGGGUGAUCUGCCCUGCACUUCGGGAUAAGCCUGGUAAACUGGGUCUAAUACCGGAUAGGAGCCAUUUUUAGUGUGAUGGUUGGAAAGUUUUUUCGGUGUAUGAUGAGCUCUCGGCCUAUCAGCUUGUUGGGGGGGUAAUGGCCUACCAAGGCGGCGAGGGGUAGCCGGCCUGAGAGGGUGGCCGGCCACCUUGGGACUGAGAGGCGGCCCAGACUCCGACGGGAGGCAGCAGUGGGGAAGAUUGCACGAUGGGCGCAAGCCUGAUGCAGCGACGCCGCGUGGGGGAUGACGGCCUUAGGGUUGAAAACUCAUUUCGCUGGGGACGAAGCUUUUUGUGACGGUACCUAGAUAAGAAGCACCGGCUAACUACGUG
rnacentral:rRNA from 1 species